rnacentral:rRNA from 1 species
GAAGCCAGUCGUACCUUCGGGUAAUCAGCCUUUCGGGUGCGAUUCUGUGGGGUUUGAGGAGCUUAACACCUUCAUGCUUUGCAUAUUCGUGCUCUUGGGUGUACUUGCCCGUGUGGUUGGUUAACAUCAAUUUUGGUGGUCAUAAAAUGACUGGAGGAAUGUAGCUUCGAUCUUGUAUUGAAGUGUUAUAACCUUCGGUAGAUGUGAUGAUCGAGAUUGAGGAUUGCAACGGAUACCCUUCGGGGCUACCUGUCUGAUCUCUGAUCGUUGCUCUGGUGCCGAAAGCUUGCUUACGGUUAUCAAAGUCGAUGGUCAAUAGGUUAGAACGGGUUAAAUUCGUUAAGGAUGUUGACGUA